AGAGCGAACGCUGGCGGCAGGCUUAACACAUGCAAGUCGAGCGGGCGUAGCAAUACGUCAGCGGCAGACGGGUGAGUAACGCGUGGGAACAUACCUUUUGGUUCGGAACAACACAGGGAAACUUGUGCUAAUACCGGAUAAGCCCUUACGGGGAAAGAUUUAUCGCCGAAAGAUUGGCCCGCGUCUGAUUAGCUAGUUGGUGAGGUAACGGCUCACCAAGGCGACGAUCAGUAGCUGGUCUAAGAGGAUGAUCAGCCACAUUGGGACUGAGACACGGCCCAAACUCCUACGGGAGGCAGCAGUGGGGAAUAUUGGACAAUGGGCGCAAGCCUGAUCCAGCCAUGCCGCGUGAGUGAUGAAGGCCCUAGGGUUGUAAAGCUCUUUUGUGCGGGAAGAUAAUGACGGUACCGCAAGAAUAAGCCCCGGCUAACUUCGUGCCAGCAGCCGC
rnacentral:rRNA from 1 species